AGAAUCAACGCUGGCGGCGUGCCUAACACAUGCAAGUCGAACGAGAAAGUGGAGCAAUCCAUGAGUAAAGUGGCGACCGGGUGAGUAACACGUGACCAAUCUACCCUUGAGUGGGGGAUAACCUCGGGAAACCGGGGCUAAUACCGCAUAAUAUCCUUGGAACGGAAGUACUGGGGAUCAAAGGAGCAAUUCGCUUAAGGAGGAGGUCGCGGCUGAUUAGCUAGUUGGCGGGGUAAUGGCCCACCAAGGCAAAGAUCGGUAGCCGGCCUGAGAGGGCGCACGGCCACACUGGAACUGAAACACGGUCCAGACUCCUACGGGAGGCAGCAGUGGGGAAUUUUGCGCAAUGGGGGAAACCCUGACGCAGCAACGCCGCGUGGAGGAUGAAGUCCCUUGGGACGUAAACUCCUUUCGACCCGGACGAUAAUGACGGUACGGGUGGAAGAAGCCCCGGCUAACUUCGUGCCAGCAGCCGC
rnacentral:rRNA from 1 species